GACGAACGCUGGCGGCGUGCUUAACACAUGCAAGUCGAACGGAAAGGCCCUGCUUUUGUGGGGUGCUCGAGUGGCGAACGGGUGAGUAACACGUGAGUAACCUGCCCUUGACUUUGGGAUAACUUCAGGAAACUGGGGAUAAUACCGGAUAGGAGCUCCUGCUGCAUGGGGGGGGUUGGAAAGUUUCGGCGGUUGGGGAUGGACUCGCGGCUUAUCAGCUUGUUGGUGGGGUAGUGGCUUACCAAGGCUUUGACGGGUAGCCGGCCUGAGAGGGUGACCGGCCACAUUGGGACUGAGAUACGGCCCAGACUCCUACGGGAGGCAGCAGUGGGGAAUAUUACACAGUGGGCGGAAGCCUGAUGCGGCAACGCCGCGUGCGGGAUGACGGCCUUCGGGUUAUAAACCACUUUCGCCUGUGACGAAGCGUGAGUGACGGUAAUGGGUAAAGAAGCAACGGCUAACUACGUG
rnacentral:rRNA from 1 species